CCCACGGGGGGCUGCAGUGGGGAAUAUUGGACAAUGGGGGGAACCCUGAUCCAGCCAUGCCGCGUGUGUGAAGAAGGCCCUCGGGUUGUAAAGCACUUUCAGUGAGGAAGAACGCCUGGUGGUUAAUACCCAUCAGGAAAGACAUCACUCACAGAAGAAGCACCGGCUAACUCCGUGCCAGCAGCCGCGGUAAUACGGAGGGUGCGAGCGUUAAUCGGAAUUACUGGGCGUAAAGCGCGCGUAGGUGGCUUGAUAAGCCGGUUGUGAAAGCCCCGGGCUCAACCUGGGAACGGCAUCCGGAACUGUCAAGCUAGAGUGCAGGAGAGGAAGGUAGAAUUCCCGGUGUAGCGGUGAAAUGCGUAGAGAUCGGGAGGAAUACCAGUGGCGAAGGCGGCCUUCUGGACUGACACUGACACUGAGGUGCGAAAGCGUGGGUAGCAAACAGGAUUAGAUACCCGGGUAGUC
rnacentral:rRNA from 1 species